rnacentral:rRNA from 1 species
AAAUUGAAGAGUUUGAUCAUGGCUCAGAUUGAACGCUGGCGGCAGGCCUAACACAUGCAAGUCGAGCGGCAGCGGGAAAGUAGCUUUCUACUUUUGCCGGCGAGCGGCGGACGGGUGAGUAAUGCCUGGGGAUCUGCCCAGUCGAGGGGGAUAACAGUUGGAAACGACUGCUAAUACCGCAUACGCCCUACGGGGGAAAGGAGGGGACCUUCGGGCCUUUCGCGAUUGGAUGAACCCAGGUGGGAUUAGCUAGUUGGUGGGGUAAUGGCUCACCAAGGCGACGAUCCCUAGCUGGUCUGAGAGGAUGAUCAGCCACACUGGAACUGAGACACGGUCCAGACUCCUACGGGAGGCAGCAGUGGGGAAUAUUGCACAAUGGGGGAAA